rnacentral:rRNA from 1 species
UGGGGAAUUUUGCGCAAUGGGCGAAAGCCUGACGCAGCAACGCCGCGUGGGUGAUGAAGGUCUUCGGAUCGUAAAACCCUGUCGUCAGGGACGAAGGUCGUGGGGUGAACAGCCCCAUGGCUUGACGGUACCUGGAGAGGAAGCCCCGGCUAACUCUGUGCCAGCAGCCGCGGUAAUACAGAGGGGGCAAGCGUUAUGCGGAAUGAUUGGGCGUAAAGGGCGCGUAGGCGGUGUGUUAAGUGGGAUGUGCAAUCCCCGGGCUUAACCCUGGAACUGCCUCCCAGACUGGAACGCUGGAGUACUGGAGAGGGUGGUGGAAUUCCACGUGUAGCGGUGAAAUGCGUAGAGAUGUGGAGGAACACCAGUGGCGAAGGCGGCCACCUGGACAGUAACUGACGCUGAGGCGCGAAAGUGUGGGUAGCAAACA